AACGAACGCUGGCGGCAUGCCUAACACAUGCAAGUCGAACGAGACCUUCGGGUCUAGUGGCGCACGGGUGCGUAACGCGUGGGAAUCUGCCCUUGGGUUCGGAAUAACAGCGAGAAAUUGCUGCUAAUACCGGAUGAUGACGUAAGUCCAAAGAUUUAUCGCCCAAGGAUGAGCCCGCGUAGGAUUAGCUAGUUGGUGAGGUAAAGGCUCACCAAGGCGACGAUCCUUAGCUGGUCUGAGAGGAUGAUCAGCCACACUGGGACUGAGACACGGCCCAGACUCCUACGGGAGGCAGCAGUGGGGAAUAUUGGACAAUGGGCGAAAGCCUGAUCCAGCAAUGCCGCGUGAGUGAUGAAGGCCUUAGGGUUGUAAAAGGCUCUUUUACCC
rnacentral:rRNA from 1 species